UACGUAGGGACCAAGCGUUGUUCGGAUUUACUGGGCGUAAAGGGCUCGUAGGCGGUCCGUCGCGUCGGGAGUGAAAACUCGGAGCUUAACUCCGAGCCUGCUUCCGAUACGGGCAGACUAGAGGUAGGCAGGGGGAGAGCGGAACUCCUGGUGUAGCGGUGGAAUGCGCAGAUAUCAGGAAGAACACCGGUGGCGGAAGGCGGCUCUCUGGGCCUUACCUGACGCUGAGGAGCGAAAGCGUGGGUAGCGAACAGG
rnacentral:rRNA from 1 species